rnacentral:hammerhead_ribozyme from 1 species
GCACUGCUGACGAGUCUCAAACAGGGCUAAACAGCUGUCCAGUGC